AGAGGCUUCAAGCACUAAGGACUGCUAAUCCCUACCCCCGUGGUUAA
rnacentral:tRNA from 4 species